rnacentral:lncRNA from 10 species
CAGAUCUCCUUAGUUUUUACCUAAUGUCCUUCUGUUUUCUGUUCCAGGAUCCCAUUCAGGAUCCCACAUUGCAUACAGUCAUUGUGACUCCUCAGGCUCCCCUUGGCUGUGACAGUUUCUCAGUCUUUCCUUGUUUUUGAUGACCUUGACACUUUUGAGAAUUAUUCAUUGGGUAUUUUGUAGAAUGUCCCUCAACUAGGAUUUAUCCAUUUCAUAAUUCUUAAUAAUUUGGAAAAAAGGGCUCUGAUUUCCACUUUAUACUGGGCCCUGGAGAUUAUGUAUCCAGUCCUGCUUAUGCUUUAUGGGGCAGAGAAAAGGCAGGCUGAGCCAGAGCUGGCACAUGCAGCAGGCUGUAGCUAGCAUGCCCUGGCAUUGCCGGGGGUGGGGAUUGGGGGGCUUAUCUGAGUGGGGGAUGCUGGAAGCUAGACCUAGGAGUGAGAAGGAAACCUUAAACAUGGAGAACUCAGGAGGGAGUCCAGGCAGAGCAAACCACGUGAGCAAAGGCCUAGAGUUAUGUAUGUGAUGGUAUGGUCAGGAGGUGGCCACAUCCUCAUACUGCCCCUCAAACAGCACACCAGAAGGCCAAGAAGGGAAAAAUCUCUACACAAGGGCAAGGCCUGCAGUGCUAGAGAUGAGAUUUGAUUCUGUAAGAAACAGGAGUCAUGGGUGCUGAUUGAGCUGGAGAGAGGCCUCAUUGGAGCUGUGCCAUGGGAGCUUCCUUGCAGCUGGAUGUCAGGGCAGACUGAGCAGGAGCCAACAAGGUGGCCACUGCAUGCUCCUGGGACAAUGGGGCCUUGGCCCAGGGAUUCAGGUGGCAGAAAGUAGGGACUCUGCAGAGGGAGAAAGAGUUCCCCAGAUUUGGUGCCUGAGGGAGGGUGGGUACUUAGGGAUGGAGGAAGGGAGGGGAGCUGGGUCGAGUGGCAGAGGUUGCAAGGAGAGACAUGGUGAAAGGAGGAGGAUGGCUGGGCUGGGGAGAGGGUGGUGGAUUUGGGUUUGGACUUGGUGAGUUAAAGGUCCCUGUGGACUUCCCAGCACAUAGCAGUGAGCACAGGACUGACUGAUGCUACAGGAGUGGUCAAUAUCUUAAGAAAUAAGCAUGCUAGCUAGUGUAUGCUGGGUGUAUUAGUCAGGGUUCUCCAGAGGGACGGAACCCAUAGGAUAUAUGUAUGUAUAUAGGGAGAAUAGGCUCACAUGCUCACAAGACGAAGUCCCAUGAUAGGCCGUCUGCAAGCUGGGGAAGAGAGAAGCUGGUAGCAGCUCAGUCCGAGUCCGAAAGCCUCAAAACCAGGGAAGCAGAUGAUGCAGCCUUCAGUCUGUGGCCAAAGGUGUGAGAGCCCCCGGCAAGCCACUGGUGCAAGUCCCACAGUCCAAAGGUUGAAGAAUCUGGAGUCUGAUGUCCGAGGGCAGCAGGAGCCAAGGGAAGCAUCCAGCACAGGGGAAAAAGAAGGGAGCUAGAAGACCCAGCAAAGGCUGGUGUUAAUCAUGGCCUAUGACAAAGGAAACCACAGCUCCAAAAGGGAAAAUGACUUGUCUAAGGUCAGCUGGUAAGUACUGACCCUGAG